rnacentral:rRNA from 1 species
UAGGGAAUCUUGCGCAAUGGGCGAAAGCCUGACGCAGCAACGCCGCGUGCGGGAUGAAGGCCCUCGGGUUGUAAACCGCUUUCAGCAGGGACGAAACUGACGGUACCUGCAGAAGAAGCCCCGGCCAACUACGUGCCAGCAGCCGCGGUAACACGGAGGGGGCAAGCGUUGUCCGGAUUUAUUGGGCGUAAAGAGCUCGUAGGCGGCUCGGUAAGUCAGGUGUGAAACCUCUGGGCUCAACCCAGAGAGGCCACCUGAUACUGCUGUGGCUUGAGUCCGGUAGGGGAGCGUGGAAUUCCUGGUGUAGCGGUGAAAUGCGCAGAUAUCAGGAGGAACACCAGCGGCGAAGGCGGCGCUCUGGGCCGGAACUGACGCUGAGGAGCGAAAGCGUGGGGAGCGAACAGG